rnacentral:rRNA from 1 species
AUUGAACGCUGGCGGAAUGCUUUACACAUGCAAGUCGAACGGCAGCACGGACUUCGGUCUGGUGGCGAGUGGCGAACGGGUGAGUAAUGUAUCGGAACGUGCCCAGUCGUGGGGGACAACGUAGUGAAAAUUACGCUAAUACCGCAUACGAUCUAUGGAUGAAAGCGGGGGAUCGCAAGACCUCGCGCGAUUGGAGCGGCCGAUAUCAGAUUAGGUAGUUGGUGGGGUAAAGGCCCACCAAGCCAACGAUCUGUAGCUGGUCUGAGAGGACGACCAGCCACACUGGAACUGAGACACGGUCCAGACUCCUACGGGAGGCAGCAGUGGGGAAUUUUGGACAAUGGGCGAGAGCCUGAUCCAGCCAUUCCGCGUGCAGGAUGAAGGCCCUCGGGUUGUAAACUGCUUUUGUACAGAACGAAAAGGUUUCUACUAAUACUAGGAGCUCAUGACGGUACUGUAAGAAUAAGGAUCGGCUAACUCCGUGCCAGCAGCCGCGGUAA